rnacentral:rRNA from 1 species
CAGCCGCCGCGGUAAUACGUAGGGGGCAAGCGUUAUCCGGAAUUACUGGGUGUAAAGGGAGCGUAGACGGUUAAACAAGUCUGAAGUGAAAUGCCGGGGCUCAACCCCGGAGCUGCUUUGGGAACUGUAGAACUGGAGUGUCGGAGGGGUAAGCGGAAUUCCCAGUGUAGCGGUGAAAUGCGUAGAUAUUGGGAGGAACACCGGCGGCGAAGGCGGCUUACUGGACGACAACUGACGUUGAGGCUCGAAGGCGUGGGUAGCAAACAGGAUUAGAGACCCCGGUAGUCCCUGUCUCUUAUAC